rnacentral:rRNA from 1 species
GACGUAGGGCGCGAGCGUUGUCCGGAUUUAUUGGGCGUAAAGAGCUCGUAGGCGGCUUGUCGCGUCGUCUGUGAAAUCCCGGGGCUCAACUGCGGGCUGGCAGUCGAUACGGGCAGGCUGGAGUUCGGUAGGGGAGACUGGAAUUCCUGGUGUAGCGGUGAAAUGCGCAGAUAUCAGGAGGAACACCGGUGGCGAAGGCGGGUCUCUGGGCCGAUACUGACGCUGAGGAGCGAAAGCGUGGGGAGCGAACAGG